AUGGGGGUCCUGGGAGACCGCUCGGGGUGGUGCUUCUGCUCCGGCGGCGGGGCCAAGCUGGAGCGGAUCAAGUCCACGCUGCUCGCCACGAAGGGUCCCGCGCUCGCGGCCGUGUCCUUCCCUCGCGGCGGGGAAGGGGCAGGAGGAGGAGGUGGAGGAGGAGGAGGAGGGGGGAAGCGCGGGGGAGGGUUCCUCAUCCACCGCGCCCUCCUGCUCACCACACACGGGACCGUCCCAUCAGCCGCCGUGGCGGGCGCCGCCGAGGUCCAGCUCAGCCACGGCCGCCUCCUGGCCCGCCUGGUGCCUCAGAGGUUCUUCAUUACUAGCCCCAUUCUGGACCUUACAAUAGUCGGGCUUGAUGUCUUGGAUGAAGGCUCAGAUUCGCACGGGCAACAGCCUCAUUUCCUGAAAACCUGCUUGAACCCCAGUUUGGACCUUGGCAGUACAGUUUUGCUCCUGGGCCACACAAACAGAAGAGAUUUGGCAGUAGGUGAGGGGAAGGUUGUUAUAGCAACUGACAACCUUAUAAAGUUCUCAACUGAUGAAGUCUCAUGGCAUCCUGGAUCUGCUGGUUUUGAUAUGAACGGGAAUCUAGCUUUUAUGGUCUGUGAUCCGAUGAAGCUUGCACCUUCUACACCUACAGGGUAUGCUUCUGCAUCAUCAACUGCGCUCCUUGCAUCAAAGAUGGAUGUGCCAACACAAUUUGGGAUCCCCAUCCCUGCAGUAUGCGAAUGGUUAAAACAGCACUGGAGUGGUAGCUUGGAAGAUGUUAGCAAGCCAAUGAUGCCCCCUGCACGAUUGAUAUCUGCAGCAGGACAACGAAGUGAACCUUCUCUGAGUCAUCUUCAUUAUAUUAAGACCACUGAGCGAGAGGGUGGGGCAUUGUCAUCAUCGCAGAUGCCAGCAAGACCGACACGGCAGCAUGGGUCAUGCAGUUCAGCAUCUGCCAAGAUUUCAUAUGGUGAAAAUGAUUCUGUUAAUUCACACUCCUUUCAAGGCCAACGAGAUCCAGCCUCACAGGUGCCCGGACCUAAGGAGCAACCUGGUUCGGUCAUGGAUAGCUUUCCUCCUGGGCAUCCAAGAUCUAUUUUCUUACCGCUUCCUCUAAAGCAAAUGAUGCCUGUCGAUAAUAAGAUCAAACCGAACUGCUCGGUUUCAGAUGAAUCACGGGUAGGUAAUGCGCGAAUCAACUGCGAUGCUAUGCACAAUGUUGCUUACCAGGAAAACUGCUGGAAUGAGGCGCAGUCAAGUUCUUCACCACCGGCAAUAUCAGAACAAGGAGACAAGAGGGACGGCUUCAGCAGUGGGGAGGAGACAAUGUACUCCGCGGAAACUAUGGAAAGCAGAAACAUUCCGAGUCCAAAGGACAAGAGGCCCCAGAUAGUUGGCCGGUCACAGAGUUUUGCGAACCAUAGCAAAUGGGAUUCACCUAAAAGUGUUGAAUCUUCGAAAGGGCCGCCCUCAAGGUCGCAUACAUUCAUUCCUUUGAGAAAACCACACUUGCAAGCUGCAUCAAUUUCACAGAAAAGCCAGGUUUAUUUUAGCCCCACUGUCUCCUCCAACAUGAAAAAGAGGAACCUGUCUCAGAUUCCCAUGAAACCUCGUCAAAGUGCUCAAGUCACCUCCAAGUGGAUUACCUGA
rnacentral:rRNA from 1 species